AAAAACUUCAUAACUAUUAUUUAAAAGGGGGAAAAAAUGAGUCCUCUAUUUUAAAUGACACCUGAAUGACUUAGAAGACUUAAACAAAAUAAAAAAAGGUAAAGUAAUAUUAGUUUUGAAUCGAGAUUAGGUUCGUAAUAAACGCUUCACAAAGUGUCCAAAUUUUGAGUUUCUAAAUCCAUGAUGGGAAUUCCCCAAAUCAUAAUCAACACACAAGACAAUAGUCAUACCUGCCAUGUUGGUAGCAAUUAUUAUAUCAAUCGGAUGUACAGGAGGUGUUCCAUAUGAUCUGUGACUAUGAGGUUUUACUAGAUUGUAUCCUUCUGCAAUUAAACUGCGAUCAUGUUCCGACUCUUUAGCUUCGACAGCAGUCCUUGCUGGUGCAAUGAUGGUCGAAGUCAGUCUCUCACUACAAACCUUGAAUGUUUCCGUGGGCAAAUGGAGAAUGACAGAGCGUUUUCUUGAUGCAUUGAUGAGUACCUUGUUGGGAAUAUGCCAUAAAACUACUUCAUUAGUAUCACUUCCACUAAUGAUAUAACUGUUGUCUUCACUUAAACGAGAAAGUACUCUGCCAUUAACACGAUGAGCAUCACUCAGUUUCAACACUAAAGCGUGAGUGACCGUGUUGUAUAACCGGAUAGCAUUGUCAUUAGUAGAUACUAAAACAACGUUGUCGGAUUUUGAAUCGUUUGGAAUGAUAGAUGCGCACUGUAAUCCAGUGACUCGGCAUUUUUUAUUUCUUGAGGGAGAAUGAUGAAUUAGCCAUGAGGACACAUAUUGUAAAUUUUUAGUUUCAUAUAUUGCACAUAAUCCGUAGAACAUGCCCACAACGAUCGACUCACCGUCUGGAUAAAAACAAAUAGUAGAAACGACAUAUUCAAGUUCCGUCCAAUGCAAUAUUUUAUGGCGUAAAAUGGACCAUAACUGAAUUUUGCAAUCAAGGGAACCAGAAACAAAAUAACGAUCGUCGAUCGGGUGAAAUGCGACACAUGUAACAAUCU